rnacentral:rRNA from 1 species
AUUGAACGCUGGCGGCAGGCCUAACACAUGCAAGUCGGGCGAGCGGCGGACGGGUGAGUAAUGUAUGGGGAUCUGCCUGCUGGAGGGGGAUAACUACUGGAAACGGUAGCUAAUACCGCAUUCCAUCAGAUGAACCCAUAUGGGAUUAGCUAGUAGGUGAGGUAACGGCUCACCUAGGCGACGAUCCCUAGCUGUUCUGAGAGGGUGAUCAGCCACACGGGGUUGGAGAGACGCCCCAGACCCCUACUGGAGGCAGCAGUGGAGAAUAUUGCACAAUGGGCGCAAGCCUGAUGCAACCAGGCGGCGUGUGUGAAGAAGGUCUUCGUAUUGUAAAGCACUUUAAGUUGGGAGGCGUUACCAACAGAAUAAGCACCGGCUAACAUCGGGACAGCAGCCGCGGUAAUAC